rnacentral:ncRNA from 1 species
GUGCCAGCCCGGGCCCCUCUGGCAGUUCCUCGAGCGCCGCGUGUGCUCAGGGUCUGCGAUGUCGGACUGGAUUU